rnacentral:piRNA from 1 species
CAAAUGUAUAUGCACAAAUGCACUGGUGAGA